CUAGAUUUUCAUGAGCACCACAACCUGAAUCUCAAUAUGAUAGCCCAAUCUGUGGUGUUACUGAUCACGGUCAGGCCAGACUCUCUUUGAAUACUAAUAUCAAGAGGAUCACCAUGACAUCUGCCUACUGUAGGCAACGAUGAUCAACCAUAAAGUUGCACGCAAUAAUUACAUAAGCAUCGAAAAGCCUGUCUCUGACAGACUCUGAGAGGAAAGGGAUGACUACAUUUAGAACUGUAAUCUCAGAUGCCUGGACUGUCCCAUCCAGGCAAGAAAUAGAAACUUGGAGAGGAGGCACAGAAGCUCAGACGGUGAAACGAGAACUCAUUCAACUAAGUGAGCAAACCAACCUCUGAGCAACACACUAGAAUCCGAAUCAACUGGAGCCCUCAAGUCACUGCCUGACAAGAGCUUAAUGGAGAUGAUGUCAAGAUAGAAAAAAAUUGGAUUUUAGCCUCACCUGCCAUGCAACCCCAGAAGGCCAGAAGAUUAUCUAGACUCUCUUAUGGGCGCCUCACAGCCCAGACAAGUCUCUGAUGAUGUACACAGACCUCAACCCAGUUUGCAUUGUCAGAAAGAACGUUCCUCUCUUCUCGUUCUGUCCAAUGCUGUCUUUGAAAUUCUUCUCAUUUGCUGUGUUUCCAGCCCUCUGCUUCCUGUCGGCAGUUUUUUGCUUUUUGUCCUUUCGGGCUCUGCUGCUUAUAUGCACCUUUGAUUCUCAAUCUUUUCGCUCCUGUGUAGCUUGAAGAGUCACAGCACAAUGCGAUAAAGGAUAAACAGAGUAUAUUGGCUGGCUACAAUGGAAGAGGGAUUCUUUAAAGUUCUAUUAAAACCUAGUUCCUUCUACCAC